AACGCACAUUGCGCCCGCCAGCACUCUGGCGGGCAUGCCUGUCCGAGCGUCAUUUCACCCCUCGGGAACCCUGCCCUCCUCCCCCGGGAGGGGGGGAGGCUUCCCGGCGUUGGGGGCCGGCCCAGGCCGCCCCCGAAAUGCAGUGGCGAUCUCGCCGCGGCCUCCCCUGCGCAGUAGCACACGCCUCGCACCGGAGCGCCGAAGGCGCUGGCGCCGUAAAACGCACCAACCUCACCGCAGGUUGACCUCGGAUCAGGUAGGACUACCCGCUGAACUUAA
rnacentral:misc_RNA from 1 species